rnacentral:snoRNA from 1 species
AUACGUGAUGAGCUUAUCAAACACUUUUCUAGCUAGAUAGUAUCUGAUCUUUUUAAUUAAAAAGAAAAUGAUUUCGGUGUUUUUGAACAAUGGGAAUCUCUCUGAUA